CAGGAAGUGGUGUCUGUGCAGUUAGAAGUGACAGUUGGUGCCCUGAGAGACAGACACAGUCACUGUGAGAGCGAUUACUGAGGGAAUGUGUAACUGUAACUCCCAGCACCGACAGAAUCGGCCGAUAGAAGGAAUGAGACCUCCCGGCGCCUGGCUCCUUCCCUGCAUUCUCCUCCUCCUCCUCCUCCCCACUUCCCUCCCCCAGGGGCCCCGGGGCGGCAGGGCCACAGUAAAUAUCCGAGAAUACGACUAUGAUGGCGACUACAGGCCCGAGGGGGUGCAGAGAAUGAGGGAAAUCUUUUUUGUUGGAAGCAGCAGUGACGAUACGGAGCCCCUGGAUAUGAUUGUCCCCCAGAUAUCUGGUCAUGUGACUCGGCGGCACAGUCUGCGCCCCCUCCUCUGCAUUUGCUGCCUAGCAACGGCCAUGGUGUUGCAUGGAAUCCUGGGAUACUGACACUAAUGCCCCAUGGAGGGAAUUAAACUCCCAUCAAAUACAUCAA